rnacentral:lncRNA from 1 species
CAGUGCCCUCCUUUGUGGGCUGACAUGUCUGGAAUGGAAACUGAAGCCAACUGGACUGCUGCCAGGGAAUCACAUUGAUGCUGAAGCUGGACCGCAGGGCAAUUAGCAGGCUCACCCCAGCAGUUCUGUGUGUAUCAGGGCUCUCCUCGUCAGUUCCUUCCUAUGCCUGACAAGACAAUGUGCACUUGGCUGCAGCAGCAGUGAAGAACCAGGUCAUCUGGUCUACUGGUAAAAAUAACAAGAAAGUCUCUGCAUAAGUGAUGACACCAAUCAAAAGUAAAAAGUGAAAUAUCUGAUGCCCAGAGACUAGAUGAAUGCAUUUCUAGAUUUAAACAAUUUUACCAAUAGGGGGCGAUAGGUCCCUAUGUUGUCAGUGGUUUUUAUUGUGCUUGCUGAAACUCUAAUCCCUUUUUCCUUUCAUCAAGUAGUUCCACAAAUGAAAUUUGCAUGUGGGUGCUGCUACCAGUACUUUUUACAGUCCUUGAAAAUGGCCAUCAAAGGGGCAGCACCUCCAUUCCCCUGUCUGUUAAUGGCACAGCAUGGAAACAGCCAAGCAUGUGACUAUUUGUGUCUGGCAAAGUAAAUGUUCCUCAUCCCUGUCCCUUCCUGGCCUCUCAGUGGGGCUCGUGAAAAGAACCUGCCAUUGUUUUCAUCAUUUGCAAGGUUCUUUUUGUUGGAAAAUAGAGAGCUGGUAGAAUUUGUGUUGGGGGCGAUUCUUCUUUCUUGAGAGGAUGAUAGCAAGACUAAAAUUAUGGAAGCAUAAAAGCUGCAGGUUUUCUAUAAUGGGCACUGCUCAGUAUUAUUAAUAACUGUGCACAAGGCACUUUUAUGUUGGCAAGUGGCUUCAAUCAUUUUUAUCACGUAAUAGCUGCAAAGGUUCAGUGAGCUCUUCAAUCUCCUCACAAGAUUGGGUACCAAGUAACACAUACGAUUUGAAGGCUAGGAGGAAAUUCCGGAGAAUUAUUCCAGAAAUAUUUUUGAGUGAUUAAUUCAGGAAUAAUUGUAUACAUACAUACAUGUAUAUUCAUAUAUAUAUAUAUAUACAUAUAUAUGUACAGAUGUGACAGUG